rnacentral:tRNA from 1 species
GCCUGGGUGGCUCAGUCAGUUAAGCGUCUGACUUCAGCUCAGGUCAUGAUCUCAUGGUCCGUGGGUUCAAGCCCCGUGUCGGGCU